rnacentral:rRNA from 1 species
UACGUAGGGUGCAAGCGUUGUCCGGAAUUAUUGGGCGUAAAGAGCUCGUAGGCGGUCUGUCGCGUCUGCUGUGAAAACCUGGGGCUUAACCCCGGGCCUGCAUUCGAUACGGGCAGACUAGAGUUCGGCAGGGGAGACUGGAAUCCUGGUGUAGCGGUGAAAUGCGCAGAUAUCAGGAGGAACACCGAUGGCGAAGGCAGGUCUCUGGGCAUUAACUGACGCUGAGGAGCGAAAGCAUGGGGAGCGAACAGG